rnacentral:tRNA from 1 species
GGGGAUAUAGCUCAGUUGGUAGAGUGCUUGCUGUUCCUACACAAGUCCCUGGGUUCAAUCCCCAGCAUCACAA